rnacentral:rRNA from 1 species
UACGAAGGGGGCUAGCGUUGCUCGGAAUCACUGGGCGUAAAGGUGCGUAGGCGGGUCUUUAAGUCAGGGGUGAAAUCCUGGAGCUCAACUCCAGAACUGCCUUUGAUACUGAAGAUCUUGAGUUCGGGAGAGGUGAGUGGAACUGCGAGUGUAGAGGUGAAAUUCGUAGAUAUUCGCAAGAACACCAGUGGCGAAGGCGGCUCACUGGCCCGAUACUGACGCUGAGGCACGAAAGCGUGGGAUCAAACAGG